rnacentral:rRNA from 1 species
UACGGGGGGGGCAAGCGUUGUUCGGAAUUACUGGGCGUAAAGGGCUCGUAGGCGGCCAACUAAGUCAGACGUGAAAUCCCUCGGCUUAACCGGGGAACUGCAUCUGAUACUGGAUGGCUUGAGUUCGGGAGAGGGAUGCGGAAUUCCAGGUGCAGCGGUGAAAUGCGUAGAUAUCUGGAGGAACACCGGUGGCGAAGGCGGCAUCCUGGACCGACACUGACGCUGAGGAGCGAAAGCCAGGGGAGCAAACGGG